rnacentral:rRNA from 1 species
AAUAUUGCACAAUGGGGGAAACCCUGAUGCAGCGACGCCUCUUGAGCGAAUAAGGCCUUCGGGUCGAAAAGCUCUUUCCUAAGGGAAGAAACGGACGGUACCUUAGGAGGAAGCCCCGCCUAACUACGUGCCAGCAGCCGCGGUAAUACGUAGGGGGCGUGCGUUAUCCGGAAUUAUUGGGCGUAAAGGGUGCGUAGGCGGCUUUUUAAGUCAGAUGUGAAAGGCUACGGCUUAACCGUAGGUAGCAUUAGAAACUAAAAGGCUUGAGUGCAGGAAAGGAGAGUGACAUUCCUAGUGUAGCGGUGAAAUGCGUAGAUAUUAGGAGGAACAACGGUGGCGAAGGCGAAUCUCUGGAACGAAACUGACGCUGAGGCACGAAAGCGUGGGGAGCGAAC